rnacentral:lncRNA from 1 species
GCGCGAGGAGGAGCUAAAAAGCCCCUAGGGGUGCAGCUCUGACCACCGUUGACGGUGUAAUCGCGGCGGAGAGGUGGCAGACUGGCGGCGAAGGGUGAGAGAGGUUUAGUUUUUUUUUCUUUUUUUUUCUCUGAUAGCCUAAUAGAGUUUUGAAAUAUUCUGGUUUUAGGGUUUUGAAGGGGCAUUUAUACUGGGCAUAAAACGACACCGUUUAGGCCCGUGCCAAUGGCUCUAAAACGGUGCCGUAUUGGCGUUAACCCGAUGACCCGACCCAGAUGCGACUAGAUCUGCGUAUUCUGGCAUGGGGAGGGAUAUUUGCGCGCUUAGUCCCUCGCUUUU